CGGGGCGUAGCGCAGCCUGGUAGCGCACCUGCUUCGGGAGCAGGGGGUCGGAGGUUCGAAUCCUCUCGCCCCGA
rnacentral:tRNA from 2 species